rnacentral:rRNA from 1 species
GUGGGGAAUCUUCCGCAAUGGACGAAAGUCUGACGGAGCAACGCCGCGUGAGUGAAGAAGGUUUUCGGAUCGUAAAGCUCUUUCGUCAGGGACGAACGUAUUUCUUGUAAAUAAUGAGAGAUAGUGACGGUACCUGAAUAAGAAGCCACGGCUAACUACGUGCCAGCAGCCGCGGUAAUACGUAGGUGGCAAGCGUUGUCCGGAAUUAUUGGGCGUAAAGCGCGCGCAGGCGGGAUAUCAAGUCUGUCUUAAAAGUGCGAGGCUCAACCUCGUGAGGGGACAGAAACUGGUAUUCUUGAGUGUCGGAGAGGAAAGUGGAAUUCCAAGUGUAGCGGUGAAAUGCGUAGAGAUUUGGAAGAACACCAGUGGCGAAGGCGACUUUCUGGACGAUGUCUGACGCUGAGGCGCGAAAGCUAGGGGAGCGAACGGGAUUAGAUACCCGGGUAGUCC